rnacentral:rRNA from 1 species
GACGAACGCUGGCGGCGUGCCUAAUACAUGCAAGUAGAACGCUGAAGGAGGAGCUUGCUUCUCUGGAUGAGUUGCGAACGGGUGAGUAACGCGUAGGUAACCUGCCUGGUAGCGGGGGAUAACUAUUGGAAACGAUAGCUAAUACCGCAUAAUAGUAGAUGUUGCAUGACAUUUGCUUAAAAGGUGCAAUUGCAUCACUACCAGAUGGACCUGCGUUGUAUUAGCUAGUUGGUGGGGUAACGGCUCACCAAGGCGACGAUACAUAGCCGACCUGAGAGGGUGAUCGGCCACACUGGGACUGAGACACGGCCCAGACUCCUGCGGGAGGCAGCAGUAGGGAAUCUUCGGCAAUGGACGGAAGUCUGACCGAGCAACGCCGCGUGAGUGAAGAAGGUUUUCGGAUCGUAAAGCUCUGUUGUAAGAGAAGAACGAGUGUGAGAGUGGAAAGUUCACACUGUGACGGUAUCUUACCAGAAAGGGACGGCUAACUACGUG